rnacentral:rRNA from 1 species
UACGUAGGGUGCAAGCGUUAAUCGGAAUUACUGGGCGUAAAGCGUGCGCAGGCGGCUAUGCAAGACAGAUGUGAAAUCCCCGGGCUCAACCUGGGAACUGCAUUUGUGACUGCAUGGCUAGAGUACGGUAGAGGGGGGAUGGAAUUCCGCGUGUAGCAGUGAAAUGCGUAGAUAUGCGGAGGAACACCGAUGGCGAAGGCAAUCCCCUGGACCUGUACUGACGCUCAGGCACGAAAGCGUGGGGAGCAAACAGG